rnacentral:lncRNA from 1 species
UUAACCCCGAUGACGACGGAGAAAGGGCGAUCGGUCCAGUCGCGAGGUAUGCCGACUCUUUACUGCUUUUAUUUUCCUUAGUAAACACACAAAAGAAAAAAGAAAAGAAAUAAAAACUAUGUAGAAGAACAACAAGGAAGAAGAUGAAUACGAAAAUCACCUUUUUUCUGCUUUUUUUUUUGUAUUAUCAAUCGUCGCCCUGCUUUUACAACCUUCUUGGGCUUUUAUAAUGCCCUUUUACAGAAAAAUGAAAAGAAAAAAGAAAAGAAAAAAUAAAAUCCCUCCCCCGCAAUCGUAUUUCUUCCUUCUCUCUCCUCUCCGUUUUGCGUCUGUUUUUGCUGCUUUUGUGCGCGUCUCUUGCAGGUACGGAGUGCAGAGUCAGGUGCGUAUGGAGGCAGGUGGCGCGGCUCGGCUCGGAGGCGGCUGAGGCUUGGCACGCGCGAACGAGUAGAGUCGCUGCGGGGCUGAGGCGUGCGGCUAGGGUUCCAAGGGCUAUCGGACUGGUUACUUGGGCUUUUAUAAUCGGGCUAGGGACCUGGGCCCUUGUAAUUAGAAAUUGGGCUUAUUAUAUUUAGUUUGUAUUUCGGGCCUUUGUAUUUUGGGUAUUAGUUUUGUAAUCUGGACACUAUGUUUUUUUUGGACUAUUUUUAUUUUAUUAUUUUUUAUUAUUGGUCCGGGCAAUAUUGGGCCAUUACAGCUGCCCCUCUUUGCUCAUUGUCGUGUAACAAGAAUAGAGCAAAGACUAAAGAGGACCAAUUUUGC